UACGGAGGGUGCAAGCGUUGUCCGGAUUUAUUGGGUUUAAAGGGUGCGUAGGCGGGCCGGUAAGUCCGCUCUGAAAGUCCAGGGCUCAACCCUGGAAAGCGGGUGGAUACUGCCGGGCUAGAAUCCGGAAGAGGCGAGUGGAAUUCCUGGUGUAGCGGUGGAAUGCGCAGAUAUCAGGAGGAACACCAAUAGCGAAGGCAGCUCGCUGGGACGGUAUUGACGCUAAGGCGCGAAAGCGUGGGGAGCAAACAGG
rnacentral:rRNA from 1 species